ensembl:scaRNA SCARNA7 small Cajal body-specific RNA 7
UGGAAAUGAUGAAAUAGAGAUAAUUGGGUGUUGAAUGUUGUAUGACUGGAAAUAUUUAAUAUGUAUAUUAAGUAAUUCUUCUAAGUUUAGUAUUUUAUAGGUACUUAUUAGAGUGUAUGCAUGUGUGUGUGCUUGUGGUGGCUAUGGAAAGGGGGCACUGACUGGUGAUGCUGAUAUUGGAGUGCAUCUGAGGCUGUUGUAGAAGUAGCAUGGGUUGUUGAUUACAACAUUGCCGAUGAUUAUAACCCAAGAACAGCUCACCUAACUAGCCCGACACCCUAAAAUCUCUAACAGGUUCAUUAAAGUGGUCCUGUGAUCUGAUCCGA